rnacentral:rRNA from 1 species
AGAGUUUGAUCCUGGCUCAGGACGAACGCUGGCGGCGUGCUUAACACAUGCAAGUCGAACGGAAAGGCCCCUUUCGGGGGGUGCUCGAGUGGCGAACGGGUGAGUAACACGUGGGUGAUCUGCCCUGCACUCUGGGAUAAGCUUGGGAAACUGGGUCUAAUACCGGAUGGGACCGCAUGCUGCAUGGUGUGUGGUGGAAAGCUUUUGCGGUGUGGGAUGGGCCCGCGGCCUAUCAGCUUGUUGGUGGGGUGAUGGCCUACCAAGGCGACGACGGGUAGCCGGCCUGAGAGGGUGUCCGGCCACACUGGGACUGAGAUACGGCCCAGACUCCUACGGGAGGCAGCAGUGGGGAAUAUUGCACAAUGGGCGCAAGCCUGAUGCAGCGACGCCGCGUGGGGGAUGACGGCCUUCGGGUUGUAAACCUCUUUCAGUAUCGGCGAAGCUCCCGGCUUUUGUUGGGGGUGACGGUAGGUACAGAAGAAGCACCGGCCAACUACGUGCCAGCAGCCGCGGUAAUACGUAGGGUGCGAGCGUUGUCCGGAAUUACUGGGCGUAAAGAGCUCGUAGGUGGUUUGUCGCGUUGUUCGUGAAAACUCACAGCUUAACUGUGGGCGUGCGGGCGAUACGGGCAGACUGGAGUACUGUAGGGGAGACUGGAAUUCCUGGUGUAGCGGUGGAAUGCGCAGAUAUCAGGAGGAACACCGGUGGCGAAGGCGGGUCUCUGGGCAGUAACUGACGCUGAGGAGCGAAAGCGUGGGGAGCGAACAGGAUUAGAUACCCUGGUAGUCCACGCCCUAAACGAUGCGAACUGGAUGUUGGGUACAUUACGGUACUCAGUGUCGAAGCUAACGCGUUAAGUUCGCCGCCUGGGGAGUACGGUCGCAAGACUGAAACUCAAAGGAAUUGACGGGGGCCCGCACAAGCGGUGGAGUAUGUGGUUUAAUUCGAUGCAACGCGAAGAACCUUACCUGGCCUUGACAUCUGUCGAAUCCUGCAGAGAUGCGGGAGUGCCGCAAGGAACGACAAGACAGGUGCUGCAUGGCUGUCGUCAGCUCGUGUCGUGAGAUGUUGGGUUAAGUCCCGCAACGAGCGCAACCCUUGUCCCUAGUUGCCAGCACGUAAUGGUGGGAACUCUAGGGAGACUGCCGGUGACAAACCGGAGGAAGGUGGGGAUGACGUCAAGUCCUCAUGGCCCUUACGGCCAGGGCUACACACGUACUACAAUGGUCGGUACAGAGGGUUGCGAAGCCGCGAGGUGGAGCCAAUCCCAGAAAACCGAUCCCAGUCCGGAUCGGAGUCUGCAACUCGACUCCGUGAAGUCGGAAUCGCUAGUAAUCGCGAAUCAGCUAUGUCGCGGUGAAUACGUUCCCGGGCCUUGUACACACCGCCCGUC